UCCCUGUCGGUUGAGUGGUUAAGACUCAGCACUUUCACUGUCAAGGGCCCAGGUUCAAGCCCUGGACAGGAAA
rnacentral:tRNA from 1 species